rnacentral:lncRNA from 1 species
AUAUAUUUAAAAUAAUGGUAUGAAAAUAUUACAUCUAGGAAAUUAUUGCUUAGAAAUAAAUACUAAAAUAAACAUGUCUUAAUCAGAAUUUUUCUAUAUUAACAUCAUUUCUUGGUAACAUAUUUACCAAUAUCAGUGAUAUUUUGUUAAUAUAAAAUCUAUAUGAAACACUGAAUAUAUAUCUGUGCCAGUGUUAUAUAGACUUAACAUGGCUGACUGUUAAUGGGGCUGAUAUUCUGUAUUCUUUCUUUCUUCUUCUGUGUGAGGGGAAAUAGUCUGAGUGAAACUGGAAUAAGCAUCACCCAUCUCUCUCACACACACACACACACACACUAAACAUCACACAUCCACAAAGGAAGACUGAGAGGAACUGCUGGUUCCCCACUGACUCACCACCAACACUAUUCCAUCAACAUGAAGCCAUUGUCACACCAUAGCAGCAGUGACACAGACAACCAUUAACAGAACAUUGGGACCAAGUCACACAUUUAUAACAAAGGAUUUUACAUGCUGAGGUUCCAGUUCAAACUACCACUCCACCAUUUAACAAUGUGAAACUCCAUUAUCAAGAAAAUACACAAACCCCAUCCCAGAAAGACAGUUUCUUUCAACACUUGAUGCAAACCUAAUCUGAUAAUCUUCAAUAUUAAAAUGCUGAUAACUCCUUGCUUAAAUUUUUACUGUGUUUUUAUAUGUAUUUGUUCAGUUAUAACAGAUUAUGUGAUAAUUAUAAUCAGUAUUUCUAUGUUAAAUAUUUCCUUCUUAUAUUAAACAAUCUAAAACAAAAAAAAAAACAAAACAAAGAAAACUGUUGAUGGACAUUUUUAGAAAAGAUUCAAUUAGCAAAUGAUGACAGUUUUUGAAAAGUUUCAUUUAUAAAAAGGACAACAAUAUUUGGUUUACGAAAAUAAAAAGAAAAAAAAUAUGAAUGUUUAAAGUACCAAGACUUGUGGAGUUUGUUUCUAUUUCACUUUAUUAUUCCAUCGCAGAAUUAGAUCAGACACAUGUUACACUUAUUGUCUUACACGCUUUUUAACUCUUAGUUAGCAAUUUAUUAAUAUAGUAACAGCAUGGGCUCUAUUUUUGUUAUAGAGAUUAAUUUUUGCUAAGCAUCGGAUGUGUUGGUAUAAUAUAGAUUUAUUAUGGCUGAAAUUGUGUGUUCUCCUCACUGAUGAGGAACACAACAUCUAAUUUGAAUGAAGCUGGAGUAAGCAUCACCCUUCUAUGUUAUAUACUUAUACACACACACACACACUCAUUAGACAUCACACAUCCACAAAGGAAGACUGAGAGGAACUGCUGGUUCCCCACUGACUCACCACCAACACUAUUCCAUCAACAUGAAGCCAUUGUCACACCAUAGCAGCAGUGACACAGACAACCAUUAACAACAGAACAUUGGGACCAAGUUACAGUUUAUAACAAAGGAUUUUACACAAUGAAGCAGGACGUGCCAUAAUGGCAGAAAUACAUCUAUCAUUGACUUACCUAUCACAAGAGAAACAAAACUGGGACAGAAGACACUAAAAAUGUCAGAAUUACAAUCAUCUUACAGAAGUAACAUCAUAUAUAGACCAGAAACAACACACCAUUGACCAUAAUGAAUCUCUGAGAAUUUACAAUGGCUUUCAACCAAAUUGAAGUUGAACAGAGAAACAAGAUGAAGAAAUCCUGGCAAAGUUGGGUUUAAAAUGUCUACUUCCUUUUCAUAACAUCUGUCAAUGGGGGUUUAAUGAAUAAUCUGCAGAUUAUUAAUCCUACGUGAUUUAUUUGUUGAAAAUACACACAUAUAUUUAUUUUAGGAGUGUAUAGCAGUGAGAGAGACCAUUACCAAGACAGACUUGUGAAAACUCCAGAGAGACAAUUACCUUCACCUCCAGGUGUUGCUAUAAAUUGACUGUCAGCAACGAUGACCAAUUAUAGGAUAAUUUUUCAAAGUGAACAGAAAGACUUACACCAGUGGAUUUUAACUCAGUUUCUUACAAGCAUCUGCUCUUGGAGUUUGAGAAAAGAAACAUCACCUUAUUGAUAUUCCAACAAGAAAUUAAUAUUUUCAAAGUUGUCCUUAAUUAAUCACCUCAUUAUUUUAUGGUUUAAGCUUUAUCUUCACAGACUUUUUUUUUUAGAUGUAUAACAAACAUGAGCAAUAUUGUAAACAAUUUGAUAUAUUAUGUUAGUUAAAAGUUUGAUAAAAAAAAAAAUUAAUCAUGUAGGAAAAUUACUCAGAUUAUCGCCAAUCUCAAAUUAAAAAGUGUAAUUAUUAGCAGCUGUGAUUAAGUGUAACAGAACUCUCUGUUAGAAUAUGAACCCAGAUGUCAUAUGAGUGGGGUGACUGCUGUAUCCUUUGAAGCAGAAAAUAAGGUCACCUGUUAUUGAUUUAUCAUCAACAACAUCAUUUGUUGGCAAUCAUAUGAACAUUAAAUUGUUCCUAAUAAACUGUUUCCAUCUGUUAUUUUAUGUCACAGAGAUAUUUAUUAAUGUAUAAAUUCUCAUUCUUUACAAUAUAUUGAAAUGAUACACAAGUAGAGGGAAAUCUUUCAUCAUGUGUUAAUCCAGUUAAAAAUAAGUUCCACUCGCACAAAUUCAAAAACUAAGAUGGGUAAGUAGUUUCACUGACCUGUCUGUCUGUCUGUCUCUUAUAUUCAUCAUCAGCAUAAAGUUAUUGCCACACUAAUUUAGCAGUCACAUGCACACGCAACCAUUCACUGCAGUGGACUCUCUCCAUGAUACUCAUCAUGUCACAAAUAAUAACUGUUUUUGUAAGUUUCUCCUUUUUUUUGUUUUUGUUUUGUUGAUAUAAAUAUUCUGUUUCUUGCUGUUGUUGUUUAGUCUCAGGUAAACUUUGACACUAACCAGCCUAUAAUCAAAGACAAUCCAGCUCCGACCAUCCCAUAUUUUAGGGCUAUAUAAGACUACGGAUUCAUUACCCUGUUUUUAAUCUAAGUUGGUAUGAUUUGAGGGAUAUUUGAUUGCUAUCUUUAGCAGGCUGAGCGAUUGGGGGUCUCAUAUUUUUGUCAGUAUUGAUGGUGGAGGUAUUGUGAGGGUUAUUUUAGAUUCUUUUAUUAUGUAUUCAUUUCCAUUCUCUGGCCCCAUGUUGGGAUGCUUGUGAUUAUGUUUACUGUUUCUACACUGAAUAGAGUUCAGUUGUUAACCUAAGCUGUUGGUAUGGUCACUAAACGCUUCUCUCCCUUGCACUGUCUUUAUGCUGCCCUGUUGACUUAAGCUGCAACAUUUCUUCAGUGCCAGCUCUAUUUUUACUCAUCUGCAUAUACAUAUUAAUGCACACACAUGCAUGUAUAUGACUGUUUAAGGGCCUACCACCUUAUGUACAGAUUUCCACAGACACUCAUGAAUGAUAGCAUACAAAAUUACAUGCAUAUAGCCAGACACACAUUAAUGCACAUAGACGUACAAUAAAUAAACACAUGAAGUGAUGAAGUCUGCAUUGUUAGUUUUAUGCUAGAAUGGGUUGAAUGAAUAAAUGAAUCCCUCAUACUGAGGCAUUGUUUGAUAUCCAGAUCACCUUUCUGUUGCUUGAUCUUUUUUUCAUGUAAGCGAUUUUUGUUUUUUGUAUUGUAUUUCAUUUAUCCUUGAAAGUGCUGUCAGCAAGCAUCACCAUUUUUAUUUUUAAUCCUUUUCACACAAUGUAAAUAUUCACACACUCACACACAUGUAUAUGGUGUUUUAUACAUUUAUAGGGGAAGUGGCAUAAUUAAUAAAGC